rnacentral:lncRNA from 1 species
GUAGACCUGUAAACGGGUCGGGUUUAUUGGGUUUGAGUCGGGUUGAACCCGACCCGUUAAGUUAACGGGUCACCCGAACCCAACCCGUUAAGCUAAUGGGUCACCCGAACCCGACCCGUUAAGCUAACGGGUCACCCGUUUCACCCGUUAACACCCGUUAACAAUUAUUAUUAUUAUUUUUUUUCAUAAAGUUUAUUUUUUGUUAUUAAGACUUUACUAAAAUUACUAAAAUAUCCUCAACUAACGGGUGCUAACGGGUGUUAACGGGUCCUAACGGGUCUAACGGGUUGACCCAAAGUGACCCGUUAUUUAACGGGUUGUUAACGGGUUCACCCGUUAGCGACCCGACCCGUUAAGCAUCCACCCAAAUACAAAUAUUAACGGGUUGGGUCGGGUCGGGUUAACGGGUUGGGUCCAAAAUGCCAGGCCUACUCUCAGGGUCUACAGGUGGUGACAUGCAAGAGACCCAACGGUCAUCAAAAGUUUAGAAUUCAUUGUCCUAUUAAAAGGGUCGUUGUCUUGAUUAGUUUGUUUUCUGUUUUGUUUGCAAAUCGGCUCAAUUUCAAGUUUAACGUUUGAUAAACCAAGAUAAUGGCGCUUAAUUACCUAAUUUUGUGAUUAAUUGUCGUUAUAUUACGAGGUCGAAGCUACUAGGAAAUGCAUCAAAAGUUAUAAUUUAUUUAAUAUCAUAACCUAUAAUUAGAGUCGGCCAGUGCCAAUUAUUGAUAGCAAUUUCUGUAAGUUUUGUAUUAGAAAAAAAUUCUAAUUUUUUUGAUUUGGUUGUUAAUUUGGGCUAAUUUCUAUAAUGGGCAUGUCAUAAUUACGUAUCUAACUCGCCAUUUAUGAGUUGAAUAUGAGACAUUCACUUAUAAGUGAAAAAAAUACCACUAAAGUAUAAUGCAAUCCUAGUAGAAAAUUCUCUCUUAAAGAAAAAGAUAUUAGUGUUUUUGUGAUACAACGAUAUAUUUACUCUAAAUAAUGAAGAAUAAAUUGGUAACGAACUUGCCAUUCACGAGAUUUGUACAUAAGACGUAUCACUUACAAGUGACACAUAUAAGUAAAGAAAAAUAUCAUUAUAUCAUAGUACUAUCAAUAAAUUAGUGUCCAUACAAGGUUGCAUCCGAUACCAUUGAUGAUAAUAUAUGCAUGUAUUUAUAAAAUAUAUCUUCUCUAUAUUUUAAAUAUUGCAAAUGGCGCUUUACUGCAAUGGCAAAAAACAUUUAUGUUUAUGCACCAUGGUGUAUGUUUGAUCCCUACCGAUUUUCCUCCCCUAAACAGCUACCUAUCAAAUCCACUCAAGUUAUCGCUCUACUUAAAAAAAAAAAAUCUUAAAAUUUACACAAAAUGUUGCUAAAAUUAGCAUACAACGAAAACUUAAUGGACAAAGCCUUAGUACUCUAGUAGUUUCGUCGCGCAAAAUCUUGCACGAUGAAAUUUUGCACGACAAAACACAUAUCGUCAUGCAAAGUCACUUUGUGCGAUGAAACUUUAAACUUCGUUGCACGAAGUCUUUAUAUUAUUUUUUAAAAUCAUUGCAUGAUGUAAUCCAAUAUUUCGUCGCCUAAACCAAUUUUAUUUCUUUUUUUUUAUUUAAUUUUAUAUUAUAAAAUUUAA